rnacentral:rRNA from 1 species
CACGUAGUUAGCCGGGGCUUCUUAGUCAGGUACCGUCAUUUUCUUCCCUGCUGAUAGAGCUUUACAUACCGAAAUACUUCUUCACUCACGCGGCGUCGCUGCAUCAGGGUUUCCCCCAUUGUGCAAUAUUCCCCACUGCUGCCUCCCGUAGGAGUUUGGGCCGUGUCUCAGUCCCAAUGUGGCCGGUCACUCUCUCAAGCCGGCUACUGAUCGUCGCCUUGGUGAGCCGUUACCUCACCAACUAGCUAAUCAGACGCGGGCCCAUCCUAUACCUAUAAAUAUUUUCACACUUUGUCAUGCGACAAUGUGCGCUUAUGCGGUUUUAGCAACCGUUUCCGGCUGUUAUCCCCCUGUAUAGGGCAGGUUACCCACGCGUUACUCACCCGUCCGCCACUAAGUUAUUAUCAAUCCAUCCGAAGAUUUCUUAAUAAUAACUCCGUUCGACUUGCAUGUGUUAGGCACGCCGCCAGCGUUCAUCCUGAGCCAGGAUCAAACUCU